GGGGAAUAUUGGACAAUGGGCGAAAGCCUGAUCCAGCCAAGCCGCGAGUGUGACGAAGGUGUUCGGAUUGUAACGCACUAUAAGUUGGGAGGAAGGGCUGCAAGUUAAUACCUUGUAGUUUUGACGUUACCAACAGAAUAAGCACCGGCUAACUUCGUGCCAGCAGCCGCGGUAAUACGAAGGGUGCAAGCGUUAAUCGGAAUUACUGGGCGUAAAGCGCGCGUAGGUGGUUCGUUAAGUUGGAUGUGAAAGCCCCGGGCUCAACCUGGGAACUGCAGCCAAAACUGGCGAGCUCGAGUAUGGCAGAGGGUGGUGGAAUUUCCUGUGUAGCGGUGAAAUGCGUAGAUAUAGGAAGGAACACCAGUGGCGAAGGCGACCACCUGGGCUAAUACUGACACUGAGGUGCGAAAGCGUGUGGAGCAAACA
rnacentral:rRNA from 1 species